rnacentral:rRNA from 1 species
UAAUACAGAGGUCUCGAGCGUUAAUCGGAAUUACUGGGCUUAAAGGGUGCGUAGGCGGUCUCGUAAGUGCCUUGUGAAAUCCCAUGGCUCAACCAUGGAAUUGCUCGGUAGACUGCGAGACUUGAGGUCGGUAGAGGUCGCUGGAACUCUAGGUGGAGCGGUGAAAUGCGUAGAUAUCUAGAGGAACGCCAAAGGUGUAGACAGGCGACUGGGCCGAUUCUGACGCUGAGGCACGAAAGCGUGGGUAGCGAACGGGAUUAGAUACCCCGGUAGUCCACGCCCUAAACGAUGUGCACUAGAUCGUGGAGGCUCUGACGCCACCAUGGUCGAAGUUAAAAUGCUAAGUGCACCGCCUGGGGAGUACGGUCGCAAGGCUA